rnacentral:rRNA from 1 species
GACGAACGCUGGCGGCGUGCUUAACACAUGCAAGUCGAACGGAAAGGCCCUGCUUUUGUGGGGUGCUCGAGUGGCGAACGGGUGAGUAACACGUGAGUAACCUGCCCUUGACUUUGGGAUAACUUCAGGAAACUGGGGCUAAUACCGGAUAGGAGCUCCUGCUGCAUGGUGGGGGUUGGAAAGUUUCGGCGGUUGGGGAUGGACUCGCGGCUUAUCAGCUUGUUGGUGGGGUAGUGGCUUACCAAGGCUUUGACGGGUAGCCGGCCUGAGAGAGUGACCGGCCACAUUGGGACUGAGAUACGGCCCAGACUCCUACGGGAGGCAGCAGUGGGGAAUAUUGCACAAUGGGCGGAAGCCUGAUGCAGCAACGCCGCGUGCGGGAUGACGGCCUUCGGGUUGUAAACCGCUUUCGCCUGUGACGAAGCGUGAGUGACGGUAAUGGGUAAAGAAGCACCGGCUAACUACG